rnacentral:tRNA from 1 species
GGGUUAAUAGCUCAGUGGUAGAGCACGUGCUUAGCAUACACGAGGUCUGGGUUCAAUCCCCAGGACCUC